rnacentral:sRNA from 1 species
GGCGAUGUGACCUUCGCGACAGGGUA